rnacentral:rRNA from 1 species
AUUGAACGCUGGCGGCAGGCCUAACACAUGCAAGUCGAGCGGAUGAAGGGAGCUUGCUCCUGGAUUCAGCGGCGGACGGGUGAGGAAUGCCUAGGAAUCUGCCUGGUAGCGGGGGAUAACGUCCGGAAACGGGCGCUAAUACCGCAUACGUCCUGAGGGAGAAAGUGGGGGAUCUUCGGACCUCACGCUAUCAGAUGAGCCUAGGUCGGAUUAGCUAGUUGGGGGGGUAAAGGCCUACCAAGGCGCCGAUGCGUAACUGGUCUGAGAGGAUGAUCAGUCACACGGGAACUGAGACACGGUCCAGACUCCUCCGGGAGGCAGCAGUGGGGAAUAUUGGACAAUGGGCGAAAGCCUGAUCCAGCCAUGCCGCGUGUGUGAAGAAGGUCUUCGGAUUGUAAAGCACUUUAAGUUGGGAGGAAGGGCAGUAAGUUAAUACCUUGCUGUUUUGACGUUACCAACAGAAUAAGCACCGGCUAACUUCGUG